CUGAGCUCUAGAGCGCUGGGGCUUUCUUUUUGAUCGACUUCUUGAAAUAAAACCAACUUUAUCAUUCUUUGGGUAACAGACCCAAAAGCCGAUGGGACGGCCCGCUGGGCUGUUCCCGCCCCUAUGCCCUUUUUUGGGUUUCCGGCCAGAGGCAUGCUGGGAGCGUCACAUGCAAAUUGAGCGUGCACCCAGCGUUCCGCCCUUUCUACGCUGGGCCGGUUAUCGACCCGGCCCAGUGCGCAGGCGCGGGAAAGUUGAACUAAUAAAGUUUGUACGAGUUCAGUGGAGGAGACCGCAAGUUGAGUGGAGGAGGCGGCGGUGGGGCCCCGGACCAGGUCAGCGGGGUGUUGACGAGGGGUGGGGUGAGGAGGGAAGAGGAGGGGGCCGGGAUCCAGUGGUGGGCACCCCAGUCCCGCUUCUCUGAUAUCCAAGGGUCCAGGGUCCUCUAGAUUCCAGCAGGGGUCGGAGAUUUGGAACUACACCUCACAGCAGGCUGCGCGGCGAAGAAGCGCGGACCUAGGGGAAGAUUUGCCCUGAAACCUCUUGGGAUUGGUAGUUCCCGAUGCUUUAAGGGUUUCAGGAGUUUGGCAUAUGCCUCUUAUAGAAUCCAGGAGUUGGGGCGCUAAGCCUCUUCUUCCUGGGAGACCUAAGGGUCUGGGGCUCCAGUUCCUUUUUCUCUAAGACUCAGAAGUCCAGGACCCCAGCUCCCUCCUCCUUUAGACCCACGAAUCUGGGCACCCAGCCCCACCACCUUUCCUUGGAUCGAAGAGUCUUUUUCCUGAUCGCUUUUUCGUCUGAGGACUCAAGAGUCUAGGCCCCCAGACCCACACUCUCCAAAGGACCCAGGAGUCCAGGCCCUCAGCACCUUCCUUGGGACUCACAAGUCCUGGUCCCCAAGCCUCCACUUCUUGCUAAACCCUUGGAGUCCAGUCCCUAACCCUCUCUCUCACAGGUGCCUCCAUGGCAGGCUCUGAAGAGCUGGGGCUCCGGGAAGACACGCUGAGGGUCCUAGCUGCCUUCCUUAGGCGUGGUGAGGCUGCCGGGUCUCCUGUUCCAACUCCACCUAGAAGCCCUGCCCAAGAAGAGCCAACAGACUUCCUGAGCCGCCUUCGAAGAUGUCUUCCCUGCUCCCUGGGGCGAGGAGCAGCCCCCUCUGAGUCCCCUCGGCCUUGCUCUCUGCCCAUCCGCCCCUGCUAUGGUUUAGAGCCUGGCCCAGCUACUCCAGACUUCUAUGCUUUGGUGGCCCAGCGGCUGGAACAGCUGGUCCAAGAGCAGCUGAAAUCUCCGCCCAGCCCAGAAUUACAGGGUCCCCCAUCGACAGAGAAGGAAGCCAUACUGCGGAGGCUGGUGGCCCUGCUGGAGGAGGAGGCAGAAGUCAUUAACCAGAAG
rnacentral:circRNA from 1 species